rnacentral:lncRNA from 1 species
GCUUAGACAACGCCUGCGCCUAGCCACAGCAGCCCCCUCAUGCAGACUCCGCAAGCCAAGAGGCCGUGGAGGCAAAUGCAGGCAGCCAGCACACCUCGAACAGCCACCUUGACUGCAGGUGUGUCACCCUAGUCGCCAAGGAAGCAUUUGAGGGAAAGCGACAGGCAAUGUGAACAGCCACUUCUCCAUGUAAACGGUACUCUUUCUCUCGGAUGACACCUACGCCUAGCCACGCCAGCUCAUUUGUGCAGACUCCUCCAACAAAGAUGCCGCCGAGGCACGUGCAGGUCAGAGGCAAGAAGCAGUGGCACUGGUGUUGACAUUCACCCAAUUUCUUUCUUUUUCUUACACUGAGGCAGCCAGCACACCUCGAACAGCCACCUUGACUGCGGGUGUGUCAGCAGGUUCGUGUUGUACAUAUGCUCAUAAUAAACUUCAGUAAACUUGAACUUGAUAAUAAACUUGAAGGCAAAUGGGA